rnacentral:rRNA from 1 species
GGGCGUGCGGGUGCUUAAUACAUGCAAGUCGAGCGGACAGAUGGGAGCUUGCUCCCUGAUGUUAGCGGCGGACGGGUGAGUAACACGUGGGUAACCUGCCUGUAAGACUGGGAUAACUCCGGGAAACCGGGGCUAAUACCGGAUGGUUGUUUGAACCGCAUGGUUCAAACAUAAAAGGUGGCUUCGGCUACCACUUACAGAUGGACCCGCGGCGCAUUAGCUAGUUGGUGAGGUAACGGCUCACCAAGGCAACGAUGCGUAGCCGACCUGAGAGGGUGAUCGGCCACACUGGGACUGAGACACGGCCCAGACUCCUACGGGAGGCAGCAGUAGGGAAUCUUCCGCAAUGGACGAAAGUCUGACGGAGCAACGCCGCGUGAGUGAUGAAGGUUUUCGGAUCGUAAAGCUCUGUUGUUAGGGAAGAACAAGUACCGUUCGAAUAGGGCGGUACCUUGACGGUACCUAACCAGAAAGCCACGGCUAACUACGUGCCAGCAGCCGCGGUAAUACGUAGGUGGCAAGCGUUGUCCGGAAUUAUUGGGCGUAAAGGGCUCGCAGGCGGUUUCUUAAGUCUGAUGUGAAAGCCCCCGGCUCAACCGGGGAGGGUCAUUGGAAACUGGGGAACUUGAGUGCAGAAGAGGAGAGUGGAAUUCCACGUGUAGCGGUGAAAUGCGUAGAGAUGUGGAGGAACACCAGUGGCGAAGGCGACUCUCUGGUCUGUAACUGACGCUG